UGGCUGCCUCAGAAGAAGGGAUACAAAUCCUGCAAAGCCCAGCACAGCUGCAGCGGAUCCCUGGACAGACCGCACAGCUGGACUGUCACCCUUCUAAAGCAGAAGGAAGGAUUAUAUGGUACAAGGAACAACAGGGUGGGAGUUUGCAAUGGAUUUACCAGAGUUUUGAGUCUGCACCUUCCGAUGGAAAAUACUCGAGUAAUGUGAACACUGCAGCAAACACGUUUUCUCUGAUAAUCAGUAACCUGCAAAGAGACGACUCGGGGGUUUAUUACUGUGGCCUCUCUGCCUUUCUGUAUCUACAGCCCAACUUCGGGAAUGGGACCAGACUAAUUGUCACAG